GUGACAGUCUUUUUGUUGCUGUUGAAGUGUGAACCUUCAGUGAAAACAAUGAUGCAUCCCUUAAGUGUUUUGCUAGUGGUGCUCUGUCUUCAACUGAGUGGGGUGAGUAGCCAGGAGAAGGUGCAGCAGAAUCCAGAAUUCCUCAGUGUCACAGAGGGAGCCACGGCCUCUCUCAACUGCACUUCCAACGAUCGUAAUUAUAAUUACUUCUGGUGGUACAAGCAGUAUCCCGGGAAAGGCCCCAUGUUUCUGAUGUCCAUAUUCUCCAAUGGUAAAAAGAAAGAAGGCAGAUUCACAGUUCACCUCAAUCAAGAGAGCCUGCAUGUUUCCCUGCACAUCAGAGACUCCCAACUCAGUGACUCAGCUGUCUACCUCUGUGCAGUGAGCACACAGUGCUCCCCAGGCACCUGCAGCCUGCACCCAAACCUACAGGGCCCCAGCAAAGUCUGA